AUAGCUAUAAUGGCUACUACUGUGGGUUAUAUUUUUGAUAAUCUCUCGAAUCAUUUCUUGUUGAGAUAAAACGUGGCAUAAUCUUAGGGUUGGCAUACUAUGGUCAUGGUCCACUUCCUGCUUUUUGCCUGUUUUUGUAUGGGUUUCACAUUUUUCAUUGAUUGAAAAACAAGUAUCAGAAGAGAAAUAUAGCAUGAAAAAUAAAAAUUGUAUGACAUUAGUAAAGUGUAAGUUCUUGACCAGCAACAUCAGCCUCAUCUGCAAAUAUGUUAAACGUGCAAAUUCUUUGUCCCACACCAGAACUGCUGAGUCAAAAACUCUGGGAGUGGGGCCUAGCAAUGUAGGGUUUAACAAAGUGUAUAAGUGAUUCUGAGGCAUGCUAAGUCAGACAAUGUUGCCAUGGAGGCAAAGAUUGGAGUGACAUAGCCACAAGCCAAUAAAUGCCUGGAAUCACCAGAAGCUGAGCCAGAAGGCCUGGGCAACAUAAUGAGAACUUACCUAUACAAAAAAUCAAAAAAUUAGCCAGGUGUGGUGGCAUGCACCUGUGGUCCCAGCCACACAGAAGGCUGAGGCAGGAGGAUCUCUUGGGACCAGGAAGUUGAGCCUGCAGUGAACCGUGUUCACACCCCUGCACUCCAACCUGGGUGACACAGGGAGACCCAUUCUCAAAAAAUAAAAAUUUUUUAAAAAGAGAGAGGGCCAAUACUAUAACUCCACAAGGCUUGGAUCAAGUUUCAUAUAAUACAACAUAUUCAUAACACUGACCAGAAUACCUGCUUAAUAAUAGCAAAAAAAAGUGACAAACCAUCAAAAUCCCAUACAAACAAAACAGUUUGUUUUCAAAGUCCACAUACUCCUACAAAAUACACAUGACUUUUCUGAUUUUAUUUUAUUUUAUAUUUAUUUAUUUAUCUAUUUAUUUAUUUAUUUUUGAGAUGGAGUCUCGCUCUUGUCACCCAGGCUGGAGUGCAGUGGUGCGAUCUCGUCUCACUGCAACCUCCAGCUCCCAGGUUCAAGCAAUUCUCCUGCCUCAGCCUCUUGAGUAGCUGGGAUUACAGGUGCCCACCACCACACCCAGCUAAUUUUCGUACUUUUAGUAGAGACGGGGUUUCACCAUGUUGGCCAGGCUUGUUUCGAACUCCUGACCUCAGGUGAUCCACCCGCUUCAGCCUCCCAGAGUGCUGUGAUUAUAGGCAUGAGCCACUGUGCCUGGCCAACUUAUCUGAUUUUAAUGAUGAUACUAUGGUCAUAUAUCGCUUAACGAUUGCGAGGAGUUCUGA
rnacentral:lncRNA from 10 species